CCUGCCGUUGCCGGCGACCGGCGCACGGGUGAGUAACACGUAUGCAACCUGCCCGUGGCAGGGGGAUAAGCGGGGGAAACCCCGUCUAAUACCGCGUAACGCGGCCUAGGGACAUCCCAAGGCCGCCAAAGGGAGCAAUCCCGGCCACGGAUGGGCAUGCGGCGCAUUAGGUAGUUGGUAGGGUAACGGCCUACCAAGCCGACGAUGCGUAGGGGUUCUGAGAGGAAGGUCCCCCACAUUGGAACUGAGACACGGUCCAAACUCCUACGGAAGGCAGCAG
rnacentral:rRNA from 1 species